rnacentral:ncRNA from 1 species
UACUGAUAAGGGCAAACCAGGAGUAAUCCUGGGGCGCAAAACUACCUGUCCUAUAACGUUAGGAUAGAGGAGAUGCCAAA